rnacentral:rRNA from 1 species
GUGAGGAAUAUUGCGCAAUGGAGGCAACUCUGACGCAGCCAUGCCGCGUGCAGGAAGAAGGCGCUACGCGUUGUAAACUGCUUUUAACCGGGAAGAAACCCCAGGACGUGUCCUGGGUUGACGGUACCGGAGGAAUAAGCACCGGCUAACUUCGUGCCAGCAGCCGCGGUAAUACGAAGGGUGCAAGCGUUAUCCGGAUUCAUUGGGUUUAAAGGGUGCGUAGGCGGAGCGUUAAGUCAGUGGUGAAAUCCUGCAGCUUAACUGUAGACUUGCCAUUGAUACUGGCGCUCUUGAGUGCGCAUGAAGUGGGCGGAAUGUGCCGUGUAGCGGUGAAAUGCUUAGAUAUGGCACAGAACACCAAUUGCGAAGGCAGCUCACUAAGGCGAUACUGACGCUGAGGCACGAAAGCGUGGGGAUCGAACAGGAUUAGAAACCCGAGUAGUCC